UGCUGUGGCAAAGCUGGUUCACAACAUACUUUUAAUCUAACACUGCAGUUCAUUUGUUUUUAAUUUCUUUUCUUUUUCUCCUUGUAGCUGCAGAAGCAGAAUAAGAAUUGCUUCAGUGGGAUGAAGAAAUUAUUUCAGUUUGGAAUCCAGCAAUAAAUGAAACAAAGUUGUUGUCAAACCACUGUAAGCAGCACAUAAAUAAAAGUCAAGCAAAGAAAUUGUGUUGGAUUGAGGAAAGGACUAGGACACCUGAAACAUCAUUGCCUAGAGCGGAACUCCUGGCAGCAUCCAGCCUUCACUGGAGGAAGCACAAGACUUUCGUGCUUUCAGAGUAAAUAUGUCAUGGAACUGAGAAACGUGGACAUGUACUCCUUGACAUAAGCUUGAAGAAGCUUAAUGAGCCUCCCAUCCCUCUUUGUCAGGAUGCACAAAAAAUGUUAGAAGUAAUUGAGAUACCUCCAAAGAGCUACAA
rnacentral:lncRNA from 1 species